rnacentral:rRNA from 1 species
AGAGCGAACGCUGGCGGCAUGCUUAACACAUGCAAGUCGCACGGGCAGGGGUAACUCUGUCAGUGGCGGACGGGUGAGUAACGCGUAGGUAUCUAUCCUUGGGUGGGGGACAACCGUGGGAAACUACGGCUAAUACCGCAUGAUAACUGAGGUUUAAAGGCGCAAGUCGCCUGGGGAGGAGCCUGCGUACGAUUAGCUAGUUGGUGGGGUAAAGGCCUACCAAGGCUACGAUCGUUAGCUGGUCUGAGAGGAUGAUCAGCCACAUUGGGACUGAGACACGGCCCAAACUCCUACGGGAGGCAGCAGUGGGGAAUAUUGGACAAUGGGCGCAAGCCUGAUCCAGCAAUGCCGCGUGUGUGAAGAAGGUCUUCGGAUUGUAAAGCACUUUCGACGGGGACGAUGAUGACGGUACCCGUAGAAGAAGCCCCGGCUAACUUCGCGCCAGCAGCCGC